rnacentral:sRNA from 1 species
UUACAUCUGCCGGCCACUGUUAUGUACAUUCAUUCCGUUAAGAAUCACCUAAUGUUGUGCGGACUCUCCCUAGCAAAUGAAUAUGAUGCAGCCCCUCGUAUUGACAACCUGCGGUAUAGAGAUCAACCCGUGCAUAAUAACUAGUCCUACAAAUCACAGAUUAAAAAUUAUAUAUAUAGCUACAAAUGGAGCAAAUCUAGAUAGAGCCGCAUAAUUCCAUGUGUGCAGUGUUGCUAUUUAUAUUUGAAGAUCAUCCAGCGUCAGUUCAUCGACUGACAUCAUCUUCAUACUUACCGUGAUGAACUGGGGAGGAUCAUCCAGACUAGAUGAACCAAGUAUGACUUCCCGCUUUAGCUUGGAUGUAAGCUUGCAUGCAAUUAAUAAUAUACCUCCGACCGAGUGGCGCCACCAAUGACAAACACAAAUAUACGCUGACCAAGCUUUUUGAAGUCACUCGACGAAUGCUUCAGCACUGAAUCACUGCAAAUUUUCCAUAUACUACCACGUGGCCGAGCCCAUGUACCACCUGUCCGUCUGGAUCUCAUAGAAUGAGCUGGUUGGUGAGCUGGGCUAGUUCUGACUGAGCUGCUCAUUGGCAGACCGUGGAAACUUGGGCUAGGGUCGUUCAUGCAAUAGUAUUCGUCUUUUGGUAAUUCUCCCUUGCUAAGCUUCUCAAUCAAGUCCUGUAUAAAAGGAUAAAAUCGGGAAAGUGCCCAUGUAGAUUCUUCCCCAGUUCGCUCCUUUCUAACAAUAUUUCGUUUACCUUGUGAACAUCAAAUUUAAACGUAAAACCUCCUCCCGAGGACUUUUUGGUGUCAGGGCCACAUAAGCAACGCAUAUUACUCACAGCAAUCAUGUCAUCAAAAAACAGAAAAUUUUACCUGCAUCAAUUUUUCACCCUUGUCACUUUCGAACUUGUCUGGGUUGAUUGCUGCAUAGAUCAUCAGCAAACGCAACUUUAAUUCAAAUAUUAAAUACCAAUUGUGUCCUCAAAAAAUUGAUUAAUUCUUUAGUUCCAGCAUCACCAAAUACAAGAUCUUGCUCUAGCUGUCCAACAUCUCGAAGACCUUGCUCCCUUAUUAUGCUAUUGAGUUUACCUGCAAUCUGUACAAAACUGAAAAGCUUCUCAAUUUGAUCGCUGUACUGUGGAAGAGCUUGAACCAUUUUUUGCAAAUCUCUAUUGGAUAUCUCUCCCCCAACCUUGCUUGCUGCAGUUGAGCAGCUUUAUUCUUGGACACAAAAUUGCUCAUCUUGUCAUGCAGAGUAAUCUCACAUCUGCUAUGUGGGCAUGCCGGAGCUCAACCCAUAUUGGAUCAUGAUCCUCCAAUAGGACAUCCUUCUUUUCAGUUGAUGAACCAUUUUUACUCGGAACCUCAUGGACAUACUUGUUGCCAUCCAUACAUAGAAGAUCAUGGCACAUCGCGUCAUAUGUCCAUUCAUGAAUGAUUGGUAUGUUUACAAUGUACCUGGUCUACUGAACGAUCAACUAUAAGUAGCUCACAUGUCUCAGUUUGAGGAUAAUCCGGUAUUGAUGUUUUCAAUUUUGAAAGGCAAUUCCAAACAGCAGCAGCAAGUUUUGUAGGCACUAAAUCUCGUAGUGUUGUCGUUACAGAAGCAUCAAUUGUCUUGGCGACACGGUAAAAUGUAUUCAUACCCUCAUUGAUGCAAACACUGUAGAUAUGCGAGUAGCCAUUGUGUUCAAACAAGCAUUGUACUUGUGUGAAUCCAAAGCAUUUUCACUAAAAAGCUCCUCCAAUGCUCUUUCAUGGUCAGUGGUGAAACCCUGCAUGCAAUCACUAGCAAUAUAACUAACCUCACUAAGUGCACCAAUACGGGGUAGUACACUUGAAUCUUUUUUUAUUUGAGUAACUAAUUCUUUCUGUAUGGGAGAACUGAAAAACACAUACGCCCUACAACAUGAUCAACAAUCUAUCAAAGUUGUAUAGAUUUGCUUACUUUUCUUUAGUUGGUUGAAUGAAAUAUAUAGCAUCUAGUGAAGGCAACGGUUGUCUCCGUUUGUACAAAUCUUCAACCAAUGAAACCCCUUCUUCUGUAAUAUCUGCCAUCUUACAUGAACAUGAUAUUAUCUUGACUGUAAGUGCCCAGGAUUCCUUACCUUCCAUGUUGAUUUUGAAUGUUUCCUAGUUGACCUGAGCAUUUCAAAUAAUAAACGGUCUCGCGUGAUUUGGCGGAAGCUCCGGUGGUCCCCGCCCUGGGAGGAGGUGUCCGAGUCCAUCGACAUGGCGCCGGAGAUCUCCCCCGCCUACUUCCGGCGACGCCGCCUCGGG